UGAAGCGAUGUUCGGAUGUCUUACAAGAGUAGGAUUAGCCUCAAUUGGUAUUCCAACAAAUGAAAUUGAAAGUUUGUGUACUGAGGAGGAUAUAAAAUAGUGAUGAAAACACUGAAAAUAUUUCAAGUCUAAGUGAUGAAUAUCGUAAAAAUUUUAUUAAAGAUGAAGCAAAACUUGUUAACGAGUGUCAAAACAAAAUAAUGAAUGAACGAAAAAAAUCAGUCUCAUAUUUGUAAAAACAAGCGGAAAAUAUGUUAAAGUCAUCACCAUCUCGAUUUGAUCCACUCGAAAUAGGUUCAACCGUCAGAGUAUAUAUACCAGAUGUAGAUCGUGCUCGCGGAGCUCCGCGUAAUUUAUUAGCGGUCGUUAUACAUGUCGAAAAUGAUCUUUACAAAUUAUAUAUUUCAGAAACAACGACAAAUUAUUUCAAUAUUAUGAAUAGAACCUACCGUAGUAUAUAUUAUAUGACAUUCACCGUAGCGCAACACAAUCGGUUAAAUCAUUUGAUCCAGUUUUCCUUGAUCAUGU